AUUGAACGCUGGCGGCAGGCUUAACACAUGCAAGUCGAGCGGGGGAAGGUAGCUUGCUACUGCACCUAGCGGCGGACGGGUGAGUAAUGCUUAGGAAUCUGCCUAUUAGUGGGGACAACAUCUCGAAAGGGAUGCUAAUACCGCAUACGUCCUACGGGAGAAAGCAGGGGAUCUUCGGACCUUGCGCUAAUAGAUGAGCCUAAGUCGGAUUAGCUAGUUGGUGGGGUAAAGGCCUACCAAGGCGACGAUCUGUAGCGGGUCUGAGAGGAUGAUCCGCCACACUGGGACUGAGACACGGCCCAGACUCCUACGGGAGGCAGCAGUGGGGAAUAUUGGACAAUGGGGGGAACCCUGAUCCAGCCAUGCCGCGUGUGUGAAGAAGGCCUUAUGGUUGUAAAGCACUUUAAGCAGGGAGGAGGCUACUUUAGUUAAUACCUAGAGAUAGUGGACGUUACUCGCAGAAUAAGCACCGGCUAACUCUGUGCCAGCAGCCGCGGUAA
rnacentral:rRNA from 1 species